GAUGAACGCUAGCUACAGGCUUAACACAUGCAAGUCGAGGGGCAGCAUGGACAUAGCUUGCUAUGUUUGAUGGCGACCGGCGCACGGGUGCGUAACACGUAUCCAAUCUGCCCGUUACUCGGGGAUAGCCUUCUGAAAGGAAGAUUAAUACCCGAUGGCAUUCAUUGGCGCAUCGCUUAUGAAUUAAGAUUUAUCGGUAACGGAUGAGGAUGCGUACGAUUAGCUAGUUGGUGGGGUAACGGCCCACCAAGGCGAUGAUGCAUAGGGGUUCUGAGAGGAAGGUCCCCCANACUGGAACUGAGACACGGUCCAGACUCCUACGGGAGGCAGCAGUGAGGAAUAUUGGUCAAUGGUCGGAAGACUGAACCAGCCAAGUAGCGUGAAGGAUGAAGGUUCUAUGGAUU
rnacentral:rRNA from 1 species